AUAAAAGCACAUGUAACUCAAUCGGUAGAGUGAAAUAUUGAAGCUAUUUUUGUUGUAAGUUCAAGUCUUACCGUGU
rnacentral:tRNA from 1 species